AUGGAGGAAUUAGGUCUGAAAGAAGAUGAACUUGAAGAUGUGGUUAUGGAAGAUGAGGAGUUGCCAGAGGCGGCGACCCGAUGGAUGAUCAUUGCUAGGGUUCACACUGAAAAACCCUAUAGUCAAUUUUGGUUUUAUAGAACCAUGAGGGUGGCUUGGGACCUGGCGAAGGAAGUCAAGAUCAAGCCGCUGGAGGAGAACCUAUACACAAUGCAGUUUGGUUGCCUGGGAGACUGGGAG
rnacentral:rRNA from 1 species